CCCUACCCCCCGGCACACACUUGGGCGCGCGGAUCCGGUGCCCGGGCUGGGGGUGGGCGCGCGCCCACCACCACCACCCCCGCCUCGGCGUGUUCGCGUCUGGGUGGUUCCCGUGGUGCCCGGCCCGCGGCUUGUUUACGAGCAUCCCAUUAGUCACCGGUUCUCGGGAAGUUGAAAUCGUCUGUUUGGAUGUAACAGGAGAAAGGGGAGGACGAGCGGGCGGAGAAGACUGCAGUUUUCACCGUGCCGGGAAGAGGGCGGGCUCCGGCGAGCCGAGCCGGGUCCCUGCGGCCGCGGCCCGCCCCUCGCCGGCCCCCGGCCCCGCGCGCCGAGGCGCGGGAGUGGGCGUCUCCGGACCUGCGCGCCCGCAGCGGGUGCCGCGUGAAAGAUGCCCUUGGAUGCUUUAGAUAUUUCCAUCUACGUGGCUUCUGUGACUUUCAAAGUCGAUUACAAAUAAGGACCUACCAUAUAACGCGUCUCCUAAAUGACUGUGAGGGCUGCUGCUGAGGGUGGGAGGCCCCGAGUUCAGAUCUCAGCAGGCUACUAAUCCUGCGGAAACUAAAAAGGCUAUAGACGCAAGCCUUGGUCGGGUUUUUUGGUUUGUUUUUAAUUGUGUCUUCAUGAAAUAAUUUUGAAACAAAAAAAAAAUUUUUUUUUAACUGCUGGAAGUUUACCUUUGAAUGCCGUCUAUACCUUACAAAAGUGUUCGUUUUCAAUGUCAUGGAGUCUUACAUUUAAGAAUAAUAAUUUAAGAUUGUAAUUUUUGAAAGAGUGAUAAAUAUUUUAACAUGUUUGUAAAAAUGGGACCUGAAAAUUCUGCUAGUUAAUAUUAUGGGCCAAGAGAUCCCUA